rnacentral:rRNA from 1 species
GCGAACGCUGGCGGCAGGCUUAACACAUGCAAGUCGAGCGGACCUUUCGGGGUCAGCGGCGGACGGGUGAGUAACGCGUGGGAACGUGCCUUCCGGUUCGGAAUAACCCUGGGAAACUAGGGCUAAUACCGGAUACGCCCUUAUGGGGAAAGGUUUACUGCCGGAAGAUCGGCCCGCGUCUGAUUAGCUAGUUGGUGGGGUAACGGCCUACCAAGGCGACGAUCAGUAGCUGGUCUGAGAGGAUGAUCAGCCACACUGGGACUGAGACACGGCCCAGACUCCUACGGGAGGCAGCAGUGUGGAAUAUUGGACAAUGGGCGCAAGCCUGAUCCAGCCAUGCCGCGUGAGUGAUGAAGGCCUUAGGGUUGUAAAGCUCUUUUAUCCGGGGCGAUAAUGACGGUACCGGAGGAAUAAGCCCCGGCUAACUUCGUG